UACAGAGGACGCAAGCGUUAUCCGGAAUGAUUGGGCGUAAAGCGUCUGUAGGUGGCUUUUUAAGUCCGCCGUCAAAUCCCAGGGCUCAACUCUGGACAGGCGGUGGAAACUACCAAGCUGGAGUGCGGGAGAGGAGAGUGGAAUUCCUGGUGUAGCGGUGGAAUGCGCAGAUAUCAGGAAGAACACCGGUGGCGAAGGCGGAUCUCUGGGCCAUAACUGACGCUGAGGAGCGAAAGCAUGGGGAGCGAACAGG
rnacentral:rRNA from 1 species